GCCCUCCACGUCCCCCCAGACGUCCCCGCGUCGCCCCCGCGCCGCCGACGCGCCGCCUGCCCGCAGACCCCUUCUCCUUCGACCUCCCCGAGGACGUCCGCGACGGCUUCGCCACCUCCCUCUCCGGCGUCCUGGGGCUGGUGGGCGCCGGCGCCGACAAAGGUGGGAGCCGACGGGGCCCCGGCGUCCGGGGGGGGGGCUCAGGCGUCCGGGCAAGGGGGGGGGGUGCCGUGCUGACGGCCCCGGCCCGCAGGGGAGUCCCUGGGCCGCCGCAUCGUGCUCAGCCGCGCCGGGACGCUCCACGUCUACUUCCUGCUGGACGCCUCCAAGAGUGUCGACGAGGGGAACUUCCGCCUCUUCAAGGAGUGCGUGGCCGCCGUGGUGGACCGGAUCAGCAGCUUCGAGGUGCCCGUCCGCUUCGCCGUCGUCUCCUACGCCAGCCAGGCCCGGGUCAUCGUCUCCACGUCCGACGACGAGGCCAGCGACGCCGACGAGGUCCUCGGCAAGGUGGAGGCCAUGAAGUUCGGAGAUCACGGGGAGGCGACAGGGACCAACAUCCACGGGGCGCUCAUGGAGGUCUACCACAUGAUCCUCUUCCAGCGGGAGCGGGCGGCGCGGCAGGGCCGGCCCGCGGCCUGGAGGAGCGUCCGGCACGCCGUCCUCCUGCUGACGGACGGCAAGUUCAACGUGGGCGGACGCCCCAGCGACGCCGUGGCCAAGAUUGAAGACRUCCUGGAGAUCAAGCCGGACCGGGCCGACUACCUGGGUGGGUGCUCCCGGCCCCUUUUAGCAACUUCC
rnacentral:lncRNA from 1 species